UAAAACCAGCUCUUCAAGUGGUCGGGAUAAUUAUUGGGCUUAAAGUGUCCGUAGCCGGUUUAGUAAGUUCCUGGUAAAAUCGGGUAGCUUAACUAUCUAUAUGCUAGGAAUACUACUAUACUAGAGGGCGGGAGAGGUCUGAGGUACUACAGGGGUAGGGGUGAAAUCUUAUAAUCCUUGUAGGACCACCAGUGGCGAAGGCGUCAGACUGGAACGUGCCUGACGGUGAGGGACGAAAGCCAGGGGAGCGAACCGGAUUAGAUACCCGGGUAGUCCCAGCCGUAAACGAUGCGGGCUAGGUGUUAGGGUGGCUACGAGCCACUCUAGUGCCGCAGCGAAGGCAUUAAGCCCGCCGCCUGGGGGAGUACGGCCGCAAGGCUG
rnacentral:rRNA from 1 species